GUGGGGAAUCUUCCGCAAUGGACGAAAGUCUGACGGAGCAACGCCGCGUGAGUGAAAAAGGUUUUCGGAUCGUAAAGCUCUUUCGUUAGGGACGAACGUGCUCUUUGUGAAUAAUGAGGAGUAAUGACGGUACCUAAAUAAGAAGCCACGGCUAACUACGUGCCAGCAGCCGCGGUAAUACGUAGGUGGCAAGCGUUGUCCGGAAUUAUUGGGCGUAAAGCGCGCGCAGGCGGGAUAUCAAGUCUGUCUUAAAAGUGCGAGGCUCAACCUCGUGAGGGGACAGAAACUGGUAUUCUUGAGUGUCGGAUAGGAAAGUGGAAUUCCAAGUGUAGCGGUGAAAUGCGUAGAGAUUUGGAAGAACACCAGUGGCGAAGGCGACUUUCUGGACGAUGUCUGACGCUGAGGCGCGAAAGCUAGGGGAGCGAACGGGAUUAGAAACCCGGGUAGUCC
rnacentral:rRNA from 1 species